UGUCACUUAUGGAUGGACCCGCGUCGCAUUAGCUAGUUGGUGAGGUAACGGCUCACCAAGGCAACGAUGCGUAGCCGACCUGAGAGGGUGAUCGGCCACACUGGGACUGAGACACGGCCCAGACUCCUACGGGAGGCAGCAGUAGGGAAUCUUCCGCAAUGGACGAAAGUCUGACGGAGCAACGCCGCGUGAGUGAUGAAGGCUUUCGGGUCGUAAAACUCUGUUGUUAGGGAAGAACAAGUGCUAGUUGAAUAAGCUGGCACCUUGACGGUACCUAACCAGAAAGCCACGGCUAACUACGUGCCAGCAGCCGCGGUAAUACGUAGGUGGCAAGCGUUAUCCGGAAUUAUUGGGCGUAAAGCGCGCGCAGGUGGUUUCUUAAGUCUGAUGUGAAAGCCCACGGCUCAACCGUGGAGGGUCAUUGGAAACUGGGAGACUUGAGUGCAGAAGAGGAAAGUGGAAUUCCAUGUGUAGCGGUGAAAUGCGUAGAGAUAUGGAGGAACACCAGUGGCGAAGGCGACUUUCUGGUCUGUAACUGAC
rnacentral:rRNA from 1 species